AAAUUGAAGAGUUUGAUCAUGGCUCAGAUUGAACGCUGGCGGCAGGCCUAACACAUGCAAGUCGAACGGUAACAGAAAGCAGCUUGCUGCUUUGCUGACGAGUGGCGGACGGGUGAGUAAUGUCUGGGAAACUGCCUGAUGGAGGGGGAUAACUACUGGAAACGGUAGCUAAUACCGCAUAACGUCGCAAGACCAAAGAGGGGGACCUUCGGGCCUCUUGCCAUCGGAUGUGCCCAGAUGGGAUUAGCUUGUUGGUGGGGUAACGGCUCACCAAGGCGACGAUCCCUAGCUGGUCUGAGAGGAUGACCAGCCACACUGGAACUGAGACACGGUCCAGACUCCUACGGGAGGCAGCAGUGGGGAAUAUUGCACAAUGGGCGCAAGCCUGAUGCAGCCAUGCCGCGUGUAUGAAGAAGGCCUUCGGGUUGUAAAGUACUUUCAGCGGGGAGGAAGGGAGUAAAGUUAAUACCUUUACUCAUUGACGUUACCCGCAGAAGAAGCACCGGCUAACUCCGUGCCAGCAGCCGCGGUAAUACGGAGGGUGCAAGCGUUAAUCGGAAUUACUGGGCGUAAAGCGCACGCAGGCGGUUUGUUAAGUCAGAUGUGAAAUCCCCGGGCUCAACCUGGGAACUGCAUCUGAUACUGGCAAGCUUGAGUCUCGUAGAGGGGGGUAGAAUUCCAGGUGUAGCGGUGAAAUGCGUAGAGAUCUGGAGGAAUACCGGUGGCGAAGGCGGCCCCCUGGACGAAGACUGACGCUCAGGUGCGAAAGCGUGGGGAGCAAACAGGAUUAGAUACCCUGGUAGUCCACGCCGUAAACGAUGUCGACUUGGAGGUUGUGCCCUUGAGGCGUGGCUUCCGGAGCUAACGCGUUAAGUCGACCGCCUGGGGAGUACGGCCGCAAGGUUAAAACUCAAAUGAAUUGACGGGGGCCCGCACAAGCGGUGGAGCAUGUGGUUUAAUUCGAUGCAACGCGAAGAACCUUACCUGGUCUUGACAUCCACGGAAGUUUUCAGAGAUGAGAAUGUGCCUUCGGGAACCGUGAGACAGGUGCUGCAUGGCUGUCGUCAGCUCGUGUUGUGAAAUGUUGGGUUAAGUCCCGCAACGAGCGCAACCCUUAUCCUUUGUUGCCAGCGGUCCGGCCGGGAACUCAAAGGAGACUGCCAGUGAUAAACUGGAGGAAGGUGGGGAUGACGUCAAGUCAUCAUGGCCCUUACGACCAGGGCUACACACGUGCUACAAUGGCGCAUACAAAGAGAAGCGACCUCGCGAGAGCAAGCGGACCUCAUAAAGUGCGUCGUAGUCCGGAUUGGAGUCUGCAACUCGACUCCAUGAAGUCGGAAUCGCUAGUAAUCGUGGAUCAGAAUGCCACGGUGAAUACGUUCCCGGGCCUUGUACACACCGCCCGUCACACCAUGGGAGUGGGUUGCAAAAGAAGUAGGUAGCUUAACCUUCGGGAGGGCGCUUACCACUUUGUGAUUCAUGACUGGGGUGAAGUCGUAACAAGGUAACCGUAGGGGAACCUGCGGUUGGAUCACCUCCUUACCUUAAAGAA
rnacentral:rRNA from 1 species